UAUUUGUAAUAAAACUAAUGUAUGUUAUCUUACGGUAAAAUUUAAUAUAAACGGUAAAAUUAUUUAUGUAACAAAUCACUGCAAAUUUUCAGGUAUCGGAAGAUGUGAUUAGAAAGGUUCAUUCAAAAAACAUUGAAAAAAAUGUUAAAUUCUAUACAAUUAUGUCAACGUCAGAACUCAAAGAACAAGCAGAAAAAGUUGGGGAUUUUGCAUAUGGCAAAAUAGCCUACACUUUAGGAAAACCAUCAUCAGAUCAGGAACUUAGAGAUAUUCAAAUUUUAUAUAUAGCACAAUUUGGAUCAAAGAAAGUCAGAGUAACGGCCGGAAAUAAGCCUAGUGAAAUGUUGGAAUUAAAGGAUUGCUUCUCAAUGGAUUCUGUUUUUAGAAUGUUUUUAAUUGAUGGAGGAGUUAUUUUUGUCAUGGCCUCAGAAAAAAAACCCUGUUAACAAAUUUUAAUUUGAUAAACACUCCAUGUUUUGUUUAUGUUAAAUCAGAAACAGAAAAAAGAUCACUGAAAAGAAAAUUUCAUUUUAUUGAAGAAUAAGUUGUUUAAUUUUUUCAUUUUAAUUUUAUGAUUCCUUAUUUAGCAAUAAUUAUCUUCAAAAAUUGUUUUUUAUUGUUUUCCUCCUGGUAGCUCAAACCUAAAAUUAUAAUUACAUGUAAAUGCGUAUAAUCUCCUGGGAAAUCACUGUAUGUCGAUACUUUAAAUGUAUAUUUAAGAAAUAAUUCAUGGCAGCCGUAAAUUUGUUUUUAUUUAACAUGGCAUUUAUAUUCGAUUAUUUCUCCCUGGGCGUUAAAUUUUACCACGAAAUAUAUAUAUUGAAUUGGACUGAUUUGUUUAUUUUGCUUUAGAAUAGAGAUUGUAUCUGUAUCUUGGCCUAUGUUAACUGUGGUUUUUCCUGUCGAAAAUUGAAAAAUACCUGGUAGUAAAAUUAAGUUGGGCGUAACGCAUAUACUUUUGGUAUACAAAUAAUACAAAACAAUGGUGGGUAUGAUAAAGAAUGGUACAGGUGUAUCAGGAAUUAUGCUAUUUAUGUCUUAACUUCAGUAAUAUACAGCGGUUCUUGUGUCUCCUCUUCUGUUAAAUAAAAAUAAUUACAUAAAUAGGCCUAUCAUUUUUUGAUAACAUGAAUAUCUAGUAAAGUUAAAAAAAAAAAGGAAUAUGUUUAUUUCGUAUGUCUACGACACUCAAAAAGGUUACGAAAUUCAGUACCAAUUCCUAUACGACAUAAGUGGCAUACUCCUUCUUCUUUUGUAAUGUUAACAGUGCAAGAUAUGGAAACAUUUAUUUCUUCAGUGUUUUUUAAAGAUUAAUAAUUCAAAGAAACAGCUUGAAAUAUAAUUUUGCCCUUUAGUUGCUUUUGUAUGGUGUUACCUUUCGUAAAUAAUGAACUAUUUUUUUAUAAUUUUUGAUAUUAGAUAUUAGAUAUAAGAAUUAAAUACAAGAGUCAAUUUACAUUAUAGCCAUGAGUAGAUCUGUUGAUGUGAAAGUAUUUUUGCAUGCAUGAUAAAGGUAACCCUGAUAUCAGUUGUGAUAGUUAUAUUUUUUUUUAGGAUUUGUUAAUUCUGAUUUUGUGCUAACCAUUCGUAAGCUUAUGUGUACAUAAUAUGUUAUUCUAUUUUCAAGCAUUUAUUUUUACGUACUGUAAUUAUGUUAACGUUUUUUUUUUUUUUAAAUAUCAUUUAUAAUAAAUAUGGAACGAUUUUCAGUAAUUGUUAGACGCACUAAAACAUGCAGCAUGUAAUGUGAUAUAUAUUAGCUUGUUAAAUGUAACUAUAACAAUUUCUAUGUUUAUGAUAGGUACAUUUUGUGAUAUAAAAUUGCAUUUAUUUCAUAUAAAUCGCUAGUCAUACAAGUAAAUCACACCAUUAAAACUACUGGUGUUAUGCAAAAUGAGAAAUAUAUAUAUUUUAAGUUUGAUUUAACAGCGGUAUAAUGCGUUUACGGUAGCUAGAGUUGAAAAAGGAUGAGACUAUAAAAGGUGUGCCAAUAUACAGAUUUAUAAUUUUUUAUGAUGUUUUUAAAUGAGGAAAAUAUCUUUCCACAUUUUGAUUUUGACAUGUUUCAACUGAACCGUUUCCCAAUUUUAUUUUCUCCAUUCAGUUUAAAAAAAUAUGCAUGUUCAUGGUGUAAUGAUAUACAUCAUCAACGGAUUUUCAGAACAUAAAUUCGAACUCUUAUUCUGCCCUUUAUGCAUUUUUAUAUCGACCAGUUUCGAUAAAAGGUUUAUAACUCAGAAUUAGAAAUUAAAAAAAAAACCACGCAUAUCUCUUUCACAUCUUGAGUGCAUUUUUUAAAAGUAUAUGUUCAGUCUGGGACUAAUACUUAAUAUAUAAAAGGUUUUUAACACUUGAUAUAUCAGGUUUAGUUAAAUGAAUUAACCAUAGGCUGACUAUGUGAUGUUUAUAAUUAAUAUUCAAAGGUUACUAAUACUACUAUAUAUCUGUGAUUGAAAUUUUUAAACUGUGAUAAACAAUUAUUCUUUGAUUUCAUAUACUGGGUAUAUGAAUUUUACAUGUGAUAGCUGCAUUUUGUACUGCAUACAUGUCAUGUUGAUUAAAGCAUUUAUGACCA